ACAGCAUCCGCAGGGCGUGACGUUCCUCAAGAAGUACAUGUUGCCAUUGGAAAGGUCAAGUUUGGAUUGCACGGUCUGGAUACUGUUUACAAAAUGCUUAAAGACACAUUCGCAAAAGG